GUAGUAGGUGAGUGAUGGGGUGACGCAGGAAGGUAGUCCAUCCCGGGCGGUGGUUGUCCCGGGGUAAGGGUGUAGGCCGGUGUGUAGGUAAAUCCGCACACCUUGUGGCUGAGACCUGAUGCCGAGCCGAUUGUGGUGAAGUGGAUGAUCCUAUGCUGUCGAGAAAAGCCUCUAGCGAGUUUCAUGGCGGCCCGUACCCUAAACCGACUCAGGUGGUCAGGUAGAGAAUACCGAGGCGUUCGGGUGAACUAUGGUUAAGGAACUCGGCAAAAUGCCCCCGUAACUUCGGGAGAAGGGGGGCCACACCUGGUGAUCCGUUUUACACGGUGAGCUGGGGGUGGCCGCAGAGACCAGCGAGAAGCGACUGUUUACUAAAAACACAGGUCCGUGCGAAGCCGUAAGGCGAUGUAUACGGACUGACGCCUGCCCGGUGCUGGAACGUUAAGGGGACCGGUUAGCUCAGAUUCGUCUGGGCGAAGCUGAGAACUUAAGCGCCAGUAAACGGCGGUGGUAACUAUAACCAUCCUAAGGUAGCGAAAUUCCUUGUCGGGUAAGUUCCGACCUGCACGAAUGGCGUAACGACUUCUCGACUGUCUCAACCAUAGGCCCGGUGAAAUUGCACUACGAGUAAAGAUGCUCGUUUCGCGCAGCAGGACGGAAAGACCCCGGGACCUUUACUACAGUUUGAUAUUGGUGUUCGGUUCGGCUUGUGUAGGAUAGCUGGGAGACUUUGAAGCAGCCACGCCAGUGGUUGUGGAGUCGUCGUUGAAAUACCAGUCUGGUCGUGCUGGAUGUCUAACCUGGGUCCGUGAUCCGGAUCAGGGACAGUGUCUGAUGGGUAGUUUAACUGGGGCGGUUGCCUCCUAAAGAGUAACGGAGGCGCCCAAAGGUUCCCUCAGCCUGGUUGGCAAUCAGGUGUUGAGUGUAAGUGCACAAGGGAGCUUGACUGUGAGACCGACGGGUCGAGCAGGGACGAAAGUCGGGACUAGUGAUCCGGCGGUGGCUUGUGGAAGCGCCGUCGCUCAACGGAUAAAAGGUACCCCGGGGAUAACAGGCUGAUCUUCCCCAAGAGUCCAUAUCGACGGGAUGGUUUGGCACCUCGAUGUCGGCUCGUCGCAUCCUGGGGCUGGAGUCGGUCCCAAGGGUUGGGCUGUUCGCCCAUUAAAGCGGUACGCGAGCUGGGUUUAGAACGUCGUGAGACAGUUCGGUCCCUAUCCGCUGUGCGCGUAGGAGUCUUGAGAAGGGCUGUCCCUAGUACGAGAGGACCGGGACGGACGAACCUCUGGUGUGCCAGUUGUUCUGCCAAGGGCAUGGCUGGUUGGCUACGUUCGGGAGGGAUAACCGCUGAAAGCAUCUAAGCGGGAAGCCUGCUUCGAGAUGAGGACUCCCACCUCCUAGAGAGGGUAAGGCUCCCAGUAGACGACUGGGUUGAUAGGCCGGAUCUGGAAGCACGGUAACGUGUGAAGGUGACCGGUACUAAUAGGCCGAGGGCUUGUCCUCAGUUGCUCGCGUCCACUGUGUU
rnacentral:rRNA from 1 species